rnacentral:tRNA from 1 species
GUUCCUGUAGCGCAAUGGAUAGCGCGUUAAACUUCUACUCCAAAGGUCGUGGGUUCGAAUUCCACCUGGGAUG